GGAAUCAAAUGUUCCAGAUAUAAGACCUCUUAGGAUAAGUACAGGGAAUAAGAACUGGUAUGGAAAAGUACUUUUUUUUUCAGCAAUUUAUGAUUUAAAACUGGAUUAGCUGGACAAGGGAAAGGAGAAAAGUCAAAGGGGGAUGUUUAUCUCAAGACAUUUAGAUGUAGUUUAUGAAAAACAAAAUGUCUAGCUCUAAAACAUCAGUAGCAUCUUCACAGAGCAAGCAAUUUUGCCCCUAUUAAUAUAAUAAAUUCUAAUAAUUGUACCCACCCCCCUAACUCCCAGUAAGUAAAAUAGAAUCCAAAAAAGGGAAGAAAUUGGGACACAUGGAUCUGAUACAAAUCUACACAGGGGAAAAGGUUGAGAAACAAGCCAGGACAAAAAAGAAUCUGAAAUGAAAAUCUCUAUAUCAAAAUAUUUCUUACUAUAUAGUUUGCAUUGUAAACUUUAGCUUUUAAUACAAUUUUAUAGACAUUUUCUUCCCCAGAUUCCUAAUGCUCUAUGAGUAAGUGUCGUGGAUAAUUUCCCGCUGUUGUUCAGGCUGAAGCCCAUUU
rnacentral:lncRNA from 1 species